UAAACAUUAGUACCUCCUCGAGAGGUAUUAGUGCUGAAGGGAAGCCGGAGAGUGUGCUACCUGGGAAGUAUAGUCGCAAGACCGAAACUUAAAGGAAUUGGCGGGGAGACACUACAACGGGUGGCGCGUGCAGUUCAAUUAGAUUCUACACCGUGAACCUUACCAGGAGCGACAGCAGAAUGAAGGUCAGUCUAAAGGGCUUACCUGACACGCUGAGAGGAGUUGCAUGGCCGUCGUCAGCCUGUGUCGUGAGAUGACCUGUUAAAUCAGGUAACAGGCAAGACCCACGUGUAUAUUUACUACGUGUACAAUAUACAGAUUGCCUUGGUAACAAGGAUGAAAGUUUGGGCUACGUUAGGUGGGUACAGCCCGAAUCCCCUGGGCUACAUGCGCGCGUCAAAGCUAGAUACAACGAGAUGCGACACCGAAAGGUGAAGCCAAUCUCCUAAAGUCUGGCCUAGUUCAAAUUGAGGUUUGUAACCCAGCCUCAUGACGAUGGAAUCCGUAGUAAUCGUUUGUUAUCAGCGAACGGUGAAUACGCCACUGUCUCUUGCACACACUGCCCGUCAAACCAACUGAGUUAUAUUAGGAUGAAACUUUUCGGAGGAGAAUUUUGAUAUGACAAGGCAGGUUAAGUCGUAACAAGGUAGCC
rnacentral:rRNA from 1 species